rnacentral:rRNA from 1 species
CCUACGGGUGGCAGCAGUGGGGAAUAUUGGUCAAUGGACGAGAGUCUGAACCAGCCACGUAGCGUGCAGGAUGACUGCCCUAUGGGUUGUAACCUUCUUUUAUAUGGGAAUAAAACAGGGUAUGCAUACACUCUUGUCUGUACCAUAUGAAUAAGGAUCGGCUAACUCCGUUCCAGCAGCCGCGGUAAUACGGAGGAUCCGAGCGUUAUCCGGGUUUAUUGGGUUUAACGGGAGCGUAGGUGGAUUGGUAAGUCAGUGGUGAAAGUUUGCGGCUCAACCGUAAAAUUGCAGUUGAAACUGGCAGUCUUGAGUACAGUAGAGGUGGGCGGAAUUCGUGGUGUAGCGGUGAAAUGCUUAGAUAUCACGAAGAACACCGAUUGCGAAGGCAGCUCACUGGACUGCAACUGACACUGAUGCGCGAAAGUGUGGGUAUCAAACAGGAUUAGAUACCCCUGUAGUC